GCUUCUUUGUCUUGAGCAAGACAAUGCACAUACCUGGGCAGUGUUCAGUACCACAUUCUUGCAGUCAGGAAGGAUGCUGACGGACCAUGCAGGGAGUUUAUACACCUUGCCGUUGAAGGUGACAGUCUUGUCAGACUGAUUGUCUAUAUUCACGAGGAAUGUCGCGCAUAGUGAGCUGGUCUUGCAUACGUGCGCCUGAAGCCAGAAGAAAAAUGCAGAUACCAUCAUCAUCGUUAAGCACAAUAGGUGAGAGCAGACCAUAAAGAAGUUGCUUUGAUUUGUCUCUCUUUUCGUUAAACAAAAGUUGCUUUUGUGGAAAGCGGAUUGUGUACCUGCAAAUUGUCGCCAGCCAACGCGGUCCACCAUGUCGCCUGGAUUCCAAUCCAACCCAUCGUCCAGCAUAUCGACGCCCCCCAGGUACUUCAAUAUUGGGGAAAAAUGAGUCUUCUUCUCCAAAAUGCAACAACGUCGUGAAGUGCUAAAUUCUUCUUGUGUGCUUCUAUAGAGUCUUGUGUUUCAGUGACCACCAUGACGAACCAUCUCAGCCUAUUUUGCAGAAGCAAGUCACAUGAUAGUUUUUAGGCGGAAUGUAUUUCACAGGUAAUAGGAAAUCAAGGUCCAGAGAGAUUUUUUAGCACAUUCAGAGAGCUUUUUUAGUGCACUGCAGCCAAACCCAUUCUGAAGGCCAGACUUAUGAUGUUUGGUUUUGAUUUUAUUUUACAAACGAAGUUGUUAGCAGCAGUAGAUCUUGGGAUUUGGGCACACAAGGAAGAAGACGAAAAGAAAAAGGGUGAGUUGGAGAUUGCAUGUUCUUUGCUCAGAAGGAUAAGAUCCUUUUUGGUUUUAGCUAGAGAACUCCUAGUGGGGUAAACAAGCAACUUAAUGGUUUGCUCUGUUUAAUGGUCUGCUUCACAGACUAAAUUCUUCAUUGUUUCUUUCUGUAUGAGCAUUAGACUUGAUUUAAAUGUGAAGCGGUUCGCUGACAGUAAUUUUGCCAGUUCAAUAAUAUAUGCACAAGUUGACCUCCUAGCGAUAUAUAUGCAUAGGAAUUUUGUUCUCCGUUUUGUUUAUUGGUGCAUGCGAGAUGUUUUGCAUGUUAUGAACAUAUUGGUUCGCGAGAAGUUCAUGUACGACUACCGAAGGAGUUCAAAAAGCACUCAUCACGAAGAGAAGAGGUGAGCAGCGCACUGGCCGUUCAACUUCGCCACCUCAGGUCGUGCAACUCCGCCCAUGUGAGCAAAGGGGGACUAGUUUC
rnacentral:rRNA from 1 species